rnacentral:rRNA from 1 species
GACGAACGCUGGCGGCGUGCUUAACACAUGCAAGUCGAACGGCAAGGCCCUGCUUUCGUGGGCUGCUCGAGUGGCGAACGGGUGAGUAACACGAGAGUAACCUGCUCUUGACUUUGGGAUAACUUCAGGAAACUGGGGUUAAUACCGGAUAGGAGCUCCUGUUGCAUGGUGGGGGUUGGAUAGUCUCGGCGGUUGGGGAUGGACUCGCGGCUUAUCAGCUAGUUGGUGGGGUAGUGGCUUACCAAGGCUUUGACGGGUAGCCGGCCUGAGAGGGUGACCGGCCACAUUGGGACUGAGAUACGGCCCAGACUCCUACGGGAGGCAGAAGUGGGGAAUAUUGCACAAUGGGCGGAAGCCUGAUGCAGCAACGCCGCGUGCGGGAUGACGGCCUUCGGGUUGUAAACCGCUUUCGCCUGUGACGAAGCGUGAGUGACGGUAAUGGGUAAAGAAGCACCGGCUAACUACGUG